rnacentral:rRNA from 1 species
ACGAGUUUGAUCAUGGCUCAAGAACGAACGCUGGCGGCAGGCUUAACACAUGCAAGUCGAGCGCGUAGCAAUACGAGCGGCAGACGGGUGAGUAACGCGUGGGAAUCUACCCAACCCUACGGAAUAACGCAUGGAAACGUGUGCUAAUACCGUAUACGCCCUUCGGGGGAAAGAUUUAUCGGGGAUGGAUGAGCCCGCGUUGGAUUAGCUAGUUGGUGGGGUAAAGGCCUACCAAGGCGACGAUCCAUAGCUGGUCUGAGAGGAUGAUCAGCCACAUUGGGACUGAGACACGGCCCAAACUCCUACGGGAGGCAGCAGUGGGGAAUAUUGGACAAUGGGCGCAAGCCUGAUCCAGCCAUGCCGCGUGAGUGAUGAAGGCCCUAGGAUUGUAAAGCUCUUUCACCGGUGAAGAUAAUGACGGUAACCGGAGAAGAAGCCCCGGCUAACUUCGUG